rnacentral:rRNA from 1 species
UACGUAGGGUGCGAGCGUUAAUCGGAAUUACUGGGCGUAAAGCGUGCGCAGGCGGUUUUGUAAGCCAGAUGUGAAAUCCCCGGGCUCAACCUGGGAAUGGCAUUUGGGACUGCAAGGCUGGAGUUUGGCAGAGGAGACUGGAAUUCCUGGUGUAGCAGUGAAAUGCGUAGAUAUCAGGAGGAAUACCAGUGGCGAAGGCGGCGUCCUGGACCGGCACUGACGCUGAGGAGCGAAAGCGUGGGGAGCGAUCCGG